UACAGAGGUCUCAAGCGUUGUUCGGAUUCAUUGGGCGUAAAGAGCUCGUAGGCGGUGUGUCGCGUCGGCCGUGAAAACCUGCAGCUUAACUGUGGGCUUGCGGUCGAUACGGGCAUCACUGGAGUUCGGCAGGGGAGACUGGAAUUCCUGGUGUAGCGGUGAAAUGCGCAGAUAUCAGGAGGAACACCGGUGGCGAAGGCGGGUCUCUGGGCCGAUACUGACGCUGAGGAGCGAAAGCGUGGGGAGCGAACAGG
rnacentral:rRNA from 1 species